rnacentral:rRNA from 1 species
UACGUAGGGUGCAAGCGUUAAUCGGAAUUACUGGGCGUAAAGCGUGCGCAGGCGGCUUUGCAAGACAGAUGUGAAAUCCCCGGGCUCAACCUGGGAACUGCAUUUGUGACUGCAAGGCUAGAGUACGGUAGAGGGGGAUGGAAUUCCGCGUGUAGCAGUGAAAUGCGUAGAUAUGCGGAGGAACACCGAUGGCGAAGGCAAUCCCCUGGACCUGUACUGACGCUCAUGCACGAAAGCGUGGGGAGCAAGACGG